AAAUUUUCGAAAGAAUCUGCUUGCUAUGUUCUGAUGAAGUCCGAUCUUUAUAAGCACGACUGAGCCCCACUGUGUGAUGAUCAAGUCCAAGAAUAGAAUGGACCACUCUUGGGUGGGCUAAAUAUAUUUCCAACUUGAUGCGAGAAAAAAGAUCUGUACCGUUGAAUUGUAUGAAUGGAGCAUUGGCCGGUUGUUCUAAAUCUAGGAUGCAGAAUUUAAUAAUGGUGCUUGACGCCAAAUUGCCUAAUUAGCAUACAAAAAUUCCGCUAUGUUGUACCCCUUAAGAUCAAUGAUGUAAACGAAAUGAUAACACAACCCAUUGAGCAUUUAAAUUCAGCUAUAAUUUAUAAUCUGGUCAUGCAAUGGUGCUUGUACGUACACAUGGACGAAAAAUGGGUUACAUACGCUUCUACACACUCGUGUGCAUGUGUGUAGUAUGAGAAGAAAAUUAAAAAAUAAAAUCCCUAGAAAGUAGUCGUUCCUUUGAGUAGGUCGGAAUUGAUAGAAGCGGUACAUGUCGCAGUGUGAUGUGCAAAUUGGGCCUCUUCAUAUGAUGGGCCCAAGCAUGAUGUGCGCAGUGCUGUCAAAAAAGCAUAUUCUACAACGUUGGAGAUCGGAAAAUCGAGUUUCCUGCCAAUAUUUUAAAUCGAGUGUCCCAGUGAAUAUGGGCUGUUGAUCGCUUCUUUAUUUUUGACUUUUCAGUUCUCUUGUGGCCCACCAGGCCAGAUGAUUGGGCCAGCGGUUUUUUUUUUUUCUCAACCUGCAGUGAAAAGGGCAAAAUCAUCAAUAAAUGCAGUAAAUUUUUUUAUUUUUUACGGCUAAUUCUACAUCUGAGUGUAUAUUACAUAUUUAUACUCAGCACCUUCUUAGAUAGAGGGUUCUGUGAUCUUGGCAGAGAUCUCUCCAUAGGACUCAUAUGGUAGGGUGAUGUAUUAAUCGGGUCCACUCUUGUACGGACACCCAAAUGGAUGGCUUAUGUUUUAAAAAUAAAAUCCAUAAAAAACAUCCCACCCAUUACUUUCUCCACCGUUUAUCUCACUCCAUAUUUGACCAUUAAACUGGUUUUAUUUUCCACCGUCACCUUAAUGGCCACCAAUCAGAUGGAUUGGGUUGCCAGAUAGUACCACCAUAUGCUAUUGCAGAAGGUAAGAUGUAACAAUGGUCUGGCCCAGUGGAAGAGUGCUUUUGUGCCCAUGUCAGAUGUAUGGGCUCCCGUCAAGGUAUAUGUCCAUCAAAGGACCCACCGGUUCAACGGACAUGAUUCUCCACACGCGUUCCACGCCCGCACACAUCUACACGAGAGUUCCAAUUGGAUGUAUAUGUCAAUAAAGGAAACAGAAAGUAGA